rnacentral:tRNA from 1 species
GGAGGAGUAGCGAAGUGGCUAAACGCGACGGACUGUAAAUCCGUUCCUUAGGGUUCAGUGGUUCGAAUCCACUCUCCUCC